rnacentral:rRNA from 1 species
CUACGGGGGGCUGCAGUGAGGAAUAUUGCACAAUGGGGGGAACCCUGAUGCUGCAACGCCGCGUGGAGGAUGACGCAUUUCGGUGUGUAAACUCCUUUUAUAUGUCAAGAAAAUGACGGUAGCAUAUGAAUAAGCACCGGCUAACUCCGUGCCAGCAGCCGCGGUAAUACGGAGGGUGCAAGCGUUACUCGGAAUCACUGGGCGUAAAGGACGCGUAGGCGGGUUGGAAAGUCAGGUGUGAAAUCCCACAGCUUAACUGUAGAACUGCACUUGAAACUUCUAAUCUAGAGUAUGGGAGGGGGAGAUGGAAUUAGUGGUGUAGGGGUAAAAUCCGUAGAUAUCACUAGGAAUACCUAAAGCGAAGGCGAUCUCCUGGAACAUUACUGACGCUAAGGCGUGAAAGCGUGGGGAGCAAACAGGAUUAGAUACCCCGGUAGUC